UACGGGGGGGGCAAGCGUUGUUCGGAAUUACUGGGCGUAAAGGGCUUGUAGGUGGCCAACUAAGUCAGACGUGAAAUCUCCGGGCUUAACCCGGAGCGGUCAAGUGAUACUGUCGUGCUAGAGUGCGGAAGGGGCUACUGGAAUUCUCGGUGUAGCGGUGAAAUGCGUAGAUAUCGAGAGGAACACCUGCGGCGAAGGCGGCCUGCUGGGCAGUUGCUGACACUGAGGCGCGACAGCGUGGGGAGCAAACAGG
rnacentral:rRNA from 1 species